AAAAAACUUUGAAUAAAUAGCCUUGUCUGUGCAGAAACGGCUGUGGGCUUCUUUGUGUGGAAAAAAAUGUGUUUUUUUUCCUCCUAAGGAAAAUGAAUGUGUGUGUGUGGUGGGGGGAAUCCAGGGGCAAAUAAAGACCUAGAAACUGGGGUUUGGCUCAAAUGCCCCCCCUACCGUGUGCGUGAGUGUGUGUGUGUGUGUGUGUGUGUGUGUGUGUGUGUGUGUGUGUGUGUUCGUAACACAUUCCCAGCCACAGCAAUCCUACAUUUUCAUCCCUGGCCCCUGUUUAGAUGACCCGACACAGCACAGUUGUCCACAGGUUCACUCUUACCAGAAGAUGGAAGGAAGGACCUAGAUGAGAAGAGCCAGAACAUACCCACCUCUGACUGGUGAGGGUUGAUAAGGAAGGAAGGCUCUUUGAAGCCUGUAUAUGUUCUCAGAGUCUGGACACAGCGGACCUGUGUAGGAAGCUUGGAUACCUAGCUCCAGCCCCAAGUCCCUGGAGUGUUUUUUUUUACCCAGUCUUGGGGUAAAAGGUUGUAAGAAAUCUGUGCAGCAGCAAGUUAAUUUUGGGAAGCAUCUGUGGGCAUGAGGACAUGAAACCAGGAUGUAGGGCAUGCUGGAUAGUGACUGGGUCCCAUACAUUUUCAUUCAUAACUGCUCCCGUGGGUCCUUGUCAGGACCCUGCCUCUGUUGCAUCUUUAUGAGAUUCCUUGGGUUUUGUAUGGACAACAAAGGGCGCUGCCCUAAUUACCCCUGACCCUGACCCUGUGGCUGCAAUUUCUCCUUGUGACUGCUGGAUCCUCUCAGCAGGACACAGUGGCCUCUAUCCAGGCCUCUCUGAGGGGAAUCUUUCUCCUGAAGAGACCCUGAGUCUGGGUGCAACCUGCCUGGGUGCAUGGAGCCUGGCCUGGAAAUUCCAUCCAUGAGGUUAGGCCCUCCCUCAGGGAGGCAACACACAGCAGUCCUACCACAGACACUAGACAAGGGGAGAGGGAAUGGUGUCUGGAGGCUGCCACUUGCUGGCUGUGUGGGCCAGGAGAUUGACCCUGCUGGGCCUUAGUCUCCUGAUUUACAAAAUUAGUUCAAUCACAGAACUCUCAUCAUCCCACAUGGUUGCUGGAAGGAUGAGGUAGAUCCAAACAUUUGACUCUUCAGACUAAAGACUGGACAGUCUUCAACGUAGAAUAGCAGAUGACAAAUGGGCAGGGUUGAGAGUAAGGGAUGCUAGAAACAUUUCCAGAAGUUGUUCCAUUAUCCUUACUUACCUUCCUGACUGCUGACAGUUCAGCCUCAGCUUGCGUACUUCCUGUGACAGGGUGCUCACCACCUCUGGGCAGUAAGCCUCUACUUAUUGGGCAGCUGUGAGUUACAUGCCUCCUGGAAAGCCACACCAGGUGAUCAAUCCUGACUUUAGGCUUAAGAUGCUGAGGCCUCUCCCAACCACAGACUUGUUUUUCCUUAGUGAUCAUGAGGUCUUAGUCCUGUAUCCAGGCUAUAGUGAUAUGUGUGCAUGGCAAUGGGGAGCAUUCUUCCAGUGGCUGUUUCUUACUGAUAUAAGAGAAGUUCAGGGAAGGGUCUGUCCAUUGGCUCUAGGGUAGUCAGCUUGCCUCUUGACACUUUCUUUCCUUGAAUUGGGUAUGACCCGGGAGGGGUUGCAUAAUGAGGAUAGGGUCAGGUCAGGGACCCAGGAUUGACUCUUCAAUGAUAGUCUACAGAGUGAAGCCAGUAGCCAGUGAGUCCCAGAACUAUGCAAGACACUCUUAGGAGCUUUUUUGUAGCAAGGGCAGAAAGACCAGUCCAAAUAAAUAAUUAUCCACCAGCCUCUGGCUGCCUGCCAUAUGCACAUGAGAAAGGGCGUGGCCAUAGCCCCUUCCUUUGCCUGGCAUGGCCUAUCUAGAAUCACUUUUCAAAUUUGUUUGAUCCCAUUAACAACAGUGUCAGCUGCUAUAUGGAAUUACUUCCAUCUAACAGAGAAGAAAACUAAAGCUCAGAGAGAGGCCAAGAGGCUGUGGCUAAGUCAGGACUCAACUCCAGACCUUACACACUCCUACAACACAGUGCGUUGAGCAAUAGCCCCGACUAUGCUGGCAUGUGGCACAGAAGCCUGUGUGGAUCCCAGGAGUGUAGCAGUUGUUUCCAGGAAGGGUCGCAGGUGGCCCUCCCUGCAUCUGGCAAUAUAUGCCCCCAGCAGCUGUCUUCCCCCCCUCUUUCCCUCCCACCCACCCAUCUAGAACUUGCAUUGUACCUCAGAUAUUGUCUGCCUAGGCAUAUGCAUGCAGUAGCUUCAGCUCUGCCUGGCCCUGGAGGAGGAAACAAGAUUGUCCCUGAGCUGCUAUGGUUUCUAUAGAUACAGAGCAUGACUCAAACUGCCCCAAACUGCCCCUCCUUUGGCUGAGUCAGUCUCCUACACUAUGUAGGGUGGCCGCCCUGUGGGGCCCCUGGGUUCUUUCCCCCAUGGUCACCACCCUUAUACCUCAUCAUCUGGAACCUAGUUGAGUGCCACCCUUUGACAAGACUUUGGCUGGUGGGGUUGUGGGCAGUGGGUAACUGGGCAGGCUGAGAUGGCACCUCCUCAGAAGUCUGACUUGGCCUGGCCAGGCACACCUGUGCAGAUUGAAUGCAAAGCUGAUGUGAGAGAAGCCAAACCCAGUUCCUCUUGAGAGGGUCCGGGCUCUCACCUACCAAGGUCUCCUCUCACUUCCUUCUGAACCCCACCUCCUGACCCAUUUCAUGCUGACUUUGAGCUUGUGUGGCUGAUGGCUUGCUUGCCUGCUGUUGUUUCCUCUGUGGACAAGGAAGCAGAGUUGGAACUUGCUUGCUCCACCCUGCGAGUCACCUUUGUCAGGUCCAGGUGACAGCUGCUGGAGGAAAAAGGGACCAGGCUCAGGAUGCAAUUGUCUGGACCUUGCCCUAUCCCCAAGGCUCCUGCCCAAUCUCCCACCCUGCUCCCUGGGUGGACCUUGACCUCAACUGGAACAAUUGAGAAGCACAGAAUACCAUUCCAACAGCCAGCAAGCAGCAGAGCCAAGCGACAGGCAGAACCAGGAGCUCUCCAGAAAGAGUCGUGACUUUCUCCUGGUGUUUGGAAGUACAAGAAGUCCUUCUGGGAUCUCUGUUUGCCCUUCUGGAUGGCAGAUGGGGAAAGCCCAAGUCCAGAGGAAUUCAGGAACAGGCCCUAGGCCAAAUGAGACGGCUUUCCUACAGUAGGG
rnacentral:lncRNA from 1 species